AAUAUAAUAUUUUCAACUAAUGCGUAUAUGGUUGCGGUGUAUUUUGUGGAAUAUACAUAUCGCUCAUUUGCUGCAAGACCGGCAUAAAUCAAAAAACGUGAUUUUUGAGUUAAUGCUGCAGAAUUGUUCGUUAUAUCAUACUUCAUGUUGAGUGAAAAAUUCAUAUGAAUACCUCUUAUAUGCUCCGCUUGAGAAGAGGUGUAAGGUUGGAGUCACCGUGUAAGGUUGUAGUCAGUUGAAAACUUUAAACGCGUUUUCUGGAGAAUCGAUUUUUUUGACUUAUGCCGGUCUUGCAGCAAAUGAGCGAUAUGU